rnacentral:rRNA from 1 species
GUGCCAGCUGCCGCGGUAAUACGGAGGGUGCGAGCGUUGUUCGGAAUUACUGGGCGUAAAGAGCGUGUAGGCGGUUUGGCAAGUCAGAUGUGAAAGCCCUGGGCUCAACCCAGGAAGUGCAUUUGAAGCUGCCAUCCUUGAGUAUGGGAGAGGAGAGUGGAAUUCCCAAUGUAGAGGUGAAAUUCGUAGAUAUUGGGAGGAACACCCGUGGCGAAGGCGACUCUCUGGACCAAUACUGACGCUGAGACGCGAAAGCGUGGGGAGCAAACAGGAUUAGAAACCCUGGUAGUCC